GACGAACGCUGGCGGCGUGCCUAAUACAUGCAAGUAGAACGCUGAAGGAGGAGCUUGCUUCUCUGGAUGAGUUGCGAACGGGUGAGUAACGCGUAGGUAACCUGCCUGGUAGCGGGGGAUAACUAUUGGAAACGAUAGCUAAUACCGCAUAAUAUUGACUAUUGCAUGAUAGUCAGUUGAAAGGUGCAACUGCACCACUACCAGAUGGACCUGCGUUGUAUUAGCUAGUUGGUGGGGUAACGGCUCACCAAGGCGACGAUACAUAGCCGACCUGAGAGGGGGAUCGGCCACACUGGGACUGAGACACGGCCCAGACUCCUACGGGAGGCAGCAGUAGGGAAUCUUCGGCAAUAGACGGAAGUCUGACCGAGCAACGCCGCGUGAGUGAAGAAGGUUUUCGGAUCGUAAAGCUCUGUUGUAAGAGAAGAACGAGUGUGAGAGUGGAAAGCUCACACUGUGACGGUAUCUUACCAGAAAGGGACGGCUAACUACGUG
rnacentral:rRNA from 1 species